GGUUCUAUGGUGUAAUGGUUAGCACUCUGGACCUUUGAAUCCAGCGAUCUGAGUUCAAAUCUCGGUAGGACCA
rnacentral:tRNA from 1 species